UACCGUUUCAUCUCUUGCAAGCUCAGUUCAUAGUUCCUAUUUGUUAACUGGAACUCAGCUACACAUAGAGGCUUUAUGCUGGGGGAUCUCUCUAAGAGGUAGGAUGAAACAGUGCCUGUCCCAAAGAACUUACAGGAGAGGAUGUUGGUCUUAUGCAGACGUUCAGGUUGAGGUAUCUGUUCAGCUGGCUCUUCACGGGGUGUAACAAGAUGAAAAGUCCUUUGCCGCAGCCUGGUGUUGCCUUUCAUGGAGCUCUCCAGCGCAGCUCUUUCCAAAAGUUGCAGGGCACCCAGGGGCCGUGUAAGGUGCUCCCUCGAGUGUCAUCCUACUUCAGCAGGCCUUGGCAAUGGCAGGAACGAGUAAAGGCUAUCUGUGCCCUGUGAUCGGCAGGACAGGUAUCAGCUCACCUCCUUACGCAGCCUGAGGCAGCUCUCAGAGGUUUUCACAGACAAGUCUUUUGG
rnacentral:lncRNA from 1 species